CCUUUGGUGGCAGGGUGGCACUGCAGCACCCUGGCCAGGCAGCACGCUGCCCUCUGCUCCCUCCAAACCCUGGCACCAGCUAGCUGCUGGCUGGGCAUUGCGGGUGUCCUGGCAGGAGAGGCCAGUCCUGGGUGCGGGGGGGGGAGGGUCUGUGUCAACUCCGUCCCUGUGUGCUCGCUCUAGCUGAAGAAAAGAACCAGAUUGGAGCAGUACCUGCACCAGAGCCUGCUGUACCUGCAGAGCCCGCAGGAGCCCUUGCGCGAGGUGGCUGUCAGGUUCAUUGGUGAGCCACAACCUGUCCGGGGGUCCCUCACUGUACCUCAGCAGCUUAGCCCCAGCCAUGGCUACUGCCAAAUCCACCGGGGAGCUGCAGAGCCCCAACUGCCCGAUGUGAUUGAUGUGGGGCUGGGUCCCUCAAGGCCACUUCACGCUCCAGGAGCUACCCUGGGCUCAGCCUUGCCCAGCGGGUCAGUGGGGGUGAACUGGGCUGCUGGGAUGGUCAGGUCAGCGGGAUGUGUGACGGGCUGUGUGUGCCUAGGGCUCGCUGGGCAGCAGCUGAAGGACGGGUGCGAGGAGGAGGUCCUGGUCAUUAAUGAGGCCCUUCAGAACAUGGAGAGUGACAGCAGCCCCCGUGUCUCCUCCCUGGCGCUUGAAAUGAAGCAGCUGCUGUAUGAUGCAUGGGAAGAGCCUUCUGCCAGUUCCUUCCUGCCGGCACUGUGGCACUGCCUCCGGAGGGCAGAGAGGAGGAGGAUCCCUAACCAGCUGGUCUGAUCCAGGGCACUGGACUGAGCGAGCUUCCUAUGAGAUUCUUCCUCCAAGUGCAAGGAAACAGCAAUAGAUAGUUUUCUGUUGACAUUUUUAAUUAUGUCAACAUAAUUUUUGAAAGAAAAUUUUUAUUAAAUUUUCUAUUGAAAUCUC